UCCUUUGGUUGAAACUCCUCAUUGUAUUUCAGUAUGUACAUUAAAGUGAGUCUUUUUCGGCUAAAUUCUGUUUCUUUAUUAUUGCAUUAGGAUUAUGUAUAUCACGUAGUGAGUGCGAUCUGUGAAUGGACAGUGGCCUUUGGUUUUAUUUUCUACUUCCUAACUUUCAUCCAAGAUUUCCAGAGUGUCACCCUAAGGAUAUCCACAGAAAUCAAUGGUGAUAUUUGAAGAAGGAAGAAUUCAGUCUCACUCAGUGAAUGUCGCAGGCCAUUUCUAAAAGUGCUACAGAGGACAGACAGGGUUUUGAGGCCACCCUGAUUAUUGGGAUGCAUCUGCAGCACAUCCAGGACUUGAAUUUCAUUACGAGUUCCUAAUAGUUGUAUUUCUAAAGAUGUGUUUCCCAGAGAAUGUACAGCCUCAUGACACUGUAGUGAUGUUUUUAUAAUUUUCUAAGUAGAUUUUUUUAUAUUAACAAAUUCAUAUACAGAAAAAAUAAGGUGUUACAAAAAAUGGAGAGCUCUUAUUUUUGUACAGA
rnacentral:sRNA from 1 species